GCGAACGCUGGCGGCAGGCCUAACACCUGCAAGUCGAACGAACCUUUCGGGGUUAGUGGCGGACGGGUGAGUAACACGUGGGAACGUGCCUUUAGGUUCGGAAUAACUCAGGGAAACUUGUGCUAAUACCGAAUGUGCCCUUCGGGGGAAAGAUUUAUCGCCUUUAGAGCGGCCCGCGUCUGAUUAGCUAGUUGGUUGAGGUAAUGGCUCACCAAGGCGACGAUCAGUAGCUGGUCUGAGAGGAUGAUCAGCCACAUUGGGACUGAGACACGGCCCAAACUCCUACGGGAGGCAGCAGUGGGGAAUCUUGCGCAAUGGGCGAAAGCCUGACGCAGCCAUGCCGCGUGAAUGAUGAAGGUCUUAGGAUUGUAAAAUUCUUUCACCGGGGACGAUAAUGACGGUACCCGGAGAAGAAGCCCCGGCUAACUUCGUG
rnacentral:rRNA from 1 species